CAGUCGCCGCGGGAAUACGUAGGUGGCAAGCGUUGUCCGGAAUUAUUGGGCGUAAAGGGCUCGCAGGCGGUUUCUCAAGUCUGAUGUGAAAGCCCCCUGCUCAACCGGGGAGGGUCAUUGGAAACUGGGAAACUUGAGUGCAGAAGAGGAGAGUGGAAUUCCACGUGUAGCGGUGAAAUGCGUAGAGAUGUGGAGGAACACCAGUGGCGAAGGCGACUCUCUGGUCUGUAACUGACGCUGAGGAGCGAAAGCGUGGGUAGCGAACAGGAUUAGAGACCCCCGUAGUCCCUGUCUCUUAUAC
rnacentral:rRNA from 1 species